GUGGUCAAGCUAGUAAGGGCAUGCGACGGAUGCCUUGGCGUCGGGAGACGAUGAAGGACGUGGAUAGCUGCGAUAAGCCUCGGGUAGCCGCUAACAGGCUUUGAUCCGAGGAUUUCCGAAUGGGGAAACCCGUGGAGGGUCAUACCUCCCAUCGUCCGGAACAAUACAUAACCGGGCGAGGUGAACGAGGGGAAGUGAAACAUCUCAGUACCCUCAGGAAAAGAAAGCAAAAGCGAUUCCCCAAGUAGCGGCGAGCGAACGGGGAACAGCCCAAACCGUGUAUACAUGUGGCCCGUCAGCUUAGUAUGCACGGUGUCGUGGGGCAGAGGAUGGCGGAGUGGCGGAUCCGCCGGGAGAGGCCGUCUAAUACGCGGCCAGAACCGUAGUCGAAUGGUCUGGAAAGGCCAGCCAUAGAAGGUGACAGCCCUGUAGGCGAAACGGGUAAAAUCUCCUGUCCUCCGUUCCCAAGUACCGCGGGACACGUGGAACCCUGCGGGAAUUCGGGAGGACCACCUCCCAAGGCUAAAUACUACCCGACGACCGAUAGUGGACCAGUACCGUGAGGGAAAGGUGAAAAGUACCCCUUUUAGGGGAGUGAAAUAGUACCUGAAAUCGCAUGCCUACAAGCAGUGGGAGCCCUAUGGUCGCAAGCUUCGGCCUGUGACCAGGGUGACCGCGUACCUUUUGCAUAAUGGGUCAGCGACUUACUCUCCGUGGCAAGGUUAAGCCCUAGGGAAACCGAAGGUGUAGCCGCAGCGAAAGCGAGUCUGAACAGGGCGACUAGUCGCGUGGAGUAGACCCGAAGCCGGGUGAGCUACCCAUGGCCAGGAUGAAGAGUGGGUAAAACCACUUCAGAGGUCCGAACCCAAUGAGGUUGAAAACUCAUGGGAUGAGCUGUGGGUAGGGGUGAAAGGCCAAUCAAACCCGGUGAUAGCUGGUUCUCCCCGAAAUAUAUUUAGGUAUAGCCUCGUGUGUCUGCAACGGAGGUAGAGCACUGGAUGGGCUAGGGGUCCUACCAGAUUACCAAACCCAACCAAACUCCGAAUGCCGUUGACAGCAAUCACGGGAGUCAGACCGCGGGCGAUAAGGUUCGUGGUCGAGAGGGUAAGAGCCCAGAUCGCCAGCUAAGGUCCCCAAGUGUAUGCUAAGUGGGAAAGGAAGUGGAAGCGCGUAGACAACCAGGAGGUUGGCUUAGAAGCAGCCAUCCUUUAAAGAAAGCGUAACAGCUCACUGGUCGAUGUGAGUCCGCGCCGAAAAUAUAACGGGGCUCAAGCAUACCACCGAAGCUGCGAGAUCGGCUGCCCCUUCGGGGGCGGUGGAUCGGUAGGGGAGCGUUCCAGUUGCCUGUGAAGGUAGACCGAAAGGACUGCUGGAGGUUCUGGAAGUGAUCAUGCUGACAUGAGUAGCGAUAAAGCCGGUGAGAAACCGGCUCGCCGGAAGCCCAAGGUUUCCUGGGGAAGGUUAAUCCGCCCAGGGUUAGUCGGAUCCUAAGCCGAGGCCGAAAGGCGUAGGCGAUGGGAAACAGGUCAAUAUUCCUGUACCACUGGGGUAUGCAUCGAAGCUGCACGGGAGGACGGAGAUUGGUAGGUCAGCCCACCGUCGGAUGUGGGUUCAAGCCCGCAGGGGUGUCCUUGGAUAAUAAACGGGACAACCGCCCCGAGGGGUGAAGAGGAGCACCUUAGGUGCACAAACUGAUCGAUCCUAUGCUUCCAAGAAAAGUCCCGCAGUGGAGUAUGCUCCGGUGUCCGUACCGCAAACCAACGCAGGUGGGCAGGGAGAGAAUCCCGAGGCGCUUGAGAUAACCCUCGCUAAGGAACUCAGCAAAUUGGCACCGUAACCUAGGGAGAAGGUGUGCCCACAUUAGGUGUAAGAUUAUUCUUCUGAAGCCGAAGUGGGUUGCAGUGACCAGGCGGUAGCGACUGUUUACUAAAAACAUAGGACUCUGCAAACUCGUAAGAGGACGUAUAGGGUCUGACGCCUGCCCGGUGCCGGAAGGUUAAGGGGAGCAGUUAGUCCUUCGGGGCGAAGCUGUGAACCGAAGCCCCGGUAAACGGCGGCCGUAACUAUAACGGUCCUAAGGUAGCGAAAUUCCUUGUCGGGUAAGUUCCGACCUGCACGAAUGGCGCAACGACUUCCGCACUGUCUCAGCGAGGGACUCAGCGAAAUUGAACUGGCGGUGAAAAUGCCGUCUACCCGCGACAAGACGGAAAGACCCUGUGGACCUUUACUACAGCUUGACAGUGAAUCUCGAAUUGGUUUGUAGAGGAUAGGUGGGAGGCUUUGAAGCCGGAUCGUCAGAUUCGGUGGAGCCACCGGUGGAAUACCACCCUGAUCAGUUUGGGGUUCUAACUCUGGCCCGUAACCCGGGUCGAGGACACUGUCUGGUGGGUAGUUUGACUGGGGCGGUCGCCUCCCAAAAGGUAACGGAGGCGCGCUAUGGUUCCCUCAGGCUGAUUGGAAACCAGCCGUAGAGUGCAAAGGCAUAAGGGAGCUUGACUGCGAGACCGACGGGUCGAGCAGGUGGGAAACCAGGUCUUAGUGAUCCGGCGGUUCUGAGUGGAAAGGCCGUCGCUCAUCGGAUAAAAGGUACCCCGGGGAUAACAGGCUGAUCGCCUCCAAGAGUUCACAUCGACGAGGCGGUUUGGCACCUCGAUGUCGGCUCAUCGCAUCCUGGGGCUGAAGUCGGUCCCAAGGGUUUGGCUGUUCGCCAAUUAAAGCGGUACGCGAGCUGGGUUUAGAACGUCGUGAGACAGUUCGGUCCCUAUCUGUCGUGGGCGCAGGAUACUUGAGAGGAGCUGUCCUCAGUACGAGAGGACCGGGAUGGACGCACCUCUGGUGCUCCAGUUGUCUUGCCAAGGGCAUAGCUGGGUAGCCACGUGCGGAAAGGAUAACCGCUGAAAGCAUCUAAGCGGGAAGCCUCCCUCGAGAUCAGGUAUCCCGUCUCGGCCUUCGGGCCGAGCCUGAAGACCCCUUCUAGACUAGGAGGUUGAUAGGCUGGAGGUGGAAGCGCAGCAAUGCGUGAAGCUGACCAGUACUAAUUGGUCGUGUGGCUUGACCAU
rnacentral:rRNA from 1 species